rnacentral:tRNA from 1 species
UCCCUUGUGGCUCAGCUGGUAAAGAAUCCACCUGCAAUGUGGGAGACCUGGGUUUGAUCCCUGGUUUGGGAA